rnacentral:rRNA from 1 species
GGAAUAUUGGACAAUGGGUGGAAGCCUGAACCAGCCAUGCCGCGUGCAGGAUGACUGCCCUAUGGGUUGUAAACUGCUUUUGUCCGGGAAUAAACCUCCUUACGAGUAGGGAGCUGAAUGUACUGGAAGAAUAAGGAUCGGCUAACUCCGUGCCAGCAGCCGCGGUAAUACGGAGGAUCCAAGCGUUAUCCGGAUUUAUUGGGUUUAAAGGGUGCGUAGGCGGCGCGUUAAGUCAGGGGUGAAAUACGGUGGCUCAACCAUCGCAGUGCCUUUGAUACUGACGUGCUUGAAUCCAUAUGAAGUGGGCGGAAUAAGACAAGUAGCGGUGAAAUGCAUAGAUAUGUCUUAGAACUCCGAUUGCGAAGGCAGCUCACUAAGCUGGUAUUGACGCUGAUGCACGAAAGCGUGGGGAUCGA